CGCUCGAAGCGCGUCGUGGUAUUUCGCGUAUUGUAAUUUCAACACGAGCGGGGUCAAAUCCUUUGCAGACGACUUAGCUGUGCGAAACGGUCCUGUAAGCAGUAGAGUAGCCUUGUUGUUACGAUCUGCUGAGGGUAAGCCGUCCUUCGCCUCGAUUUCCCCAAUGGGUUCUCCGGAUUUCUGGAGACUUGUAGGGGUUGUGGGAUUUUUGAUGUGUCGUCUCCGGACGGGCGGUGCAGGGUAGUCGAGUUAGACUUGGUGGAAUUCCGUCGAUAGGAGUUCCGUCGAGUCUGGUCGGCUGUGUGUUGGACGGUGUAGGGUAGGCUGCUUGGACAUGGUCGGUUCGAGGAUCGAUUCGAGGGCCGGCCUGUCGAUGAUGUGUGAUGUAUGCGGUCUAGGGUAGGUUGGUUUGUCUUGGUUCGAUUUGAUGUCGGCUCCCGUGCAGGCCAGAGUGAGGGGGGUCCAGGGUAGGUGCAGGGUAGGCAGCUUAGAUUUGGUCGAUCUGGAGGUCGAUUCUCCGGCUGGCGGAUCUGACACUGUCGAAACGAGAUGCGAGGGGUGUAGGGUAGGCUAGUUUCGUACUUGCCAGGUUGCGAUUUGGACGAGAUAUGUGGUUUAGGGUAGGCUCUAGGGUAAGUAGAAUUCGAGUUUCGUCGCCGAUAGUUUUCUGUGGGUGUAUGGUAGGUACAGGGUAGGCAAAUCUCUCUCCGGCCAGUACUUGUCUCGUGGUCGUGAGUCGAUUUUUUUGUUUUGCCAUACUAUUGAAUUUUGCGGAAAUUCAAAAGUGGCUCGGGAGUCCCGCCUGGCGUGCGUCCGACUCGAACAUCGUCGG
rnacentral:rRNA from 1 species